rnacentral:misc_RNA from 1 species
ACAAACUUGGUCAUUUAGAGGAAGUAAAAGUCGUAACAAGGUUUCCGUAGGUGAACCUGCGGAAGGAUCAUUAACAAAAUUGUCCUCUCAUGGAUAAUUUUUAUCCAUAUCCACCUUGUGUGAAUCACUGAAUUGUUUUGUUGGCAGGUUUAAGACUUCUCUAUUGAGGAGUUCUGUGGAUGUGUAAAUAUCCGGCUUGCCAAUUUUAUAUGUAUAAACGUGUCUAAAUAAUGUUGUCUGAAAUAAUUAAAUUUUAUAAUAAAUACAACUUUCAACAACGGAUCUCUUGGCUCUCGCAUCGAUGAAGAACGCAGC